rnacentral:lncRNA from 1 species
UCAGGUAGUAAUAUCCUCUCAUUCUCUUCUUCUCCUCCAAAAUCACCCUAUCAUUAUGGAAAAUCUUUAGGAUUCCUUCAUCAGCUCUCCACCUAUAGCAAAUCGAAUCCAGUCUGCUCAGUGAGAUAAGAUUCCAUCUGAAAUUGGAUAUGUAUCAGACCUCUCUCAAUCUUCUCACUACACCAUCAUGUGUCCUUCAGCUGACCGUCUCGAUGCCUCUGAUGGCACAGCUCGAUCCAUCCAACAGAUGAACAAUACCCUCACUACUCUUCAGGGAGUCAAACAGCUUCUCUCUGCAACAUACAUGAUAGGUGCAUGCAGAAUCUAAAAUUUACUAUUGAAAAGAAAUAGAUACCUCAUCAGAUAUCUCCAAGACAUCAUCCUCUGACUCGCUAUU